rnacentral:rRNA from 1 species
UACGGAGGGAGCUAGCGUUGUUCGGAAUUACUGGGCGUAAAGCGCGCGUAGGCGGCUUUGUAAGUUAGAGGUGAAAGCCCGGAGCUCAACUCCGGAACUGCCUUUAAAACUGCAUCGCUUGAAUCCAGGAGAGGUGAGUGGAAUUCCGAGUGUAGAGGUGAAAUUCGUAGAUAUUCGGAAGAACACCAGUGGCGAAGGCGGCUCACUGGCUCGAUACUGACGCUGAGGUGCGAAAGCGUGGGGAGCAAACAGG